rnacentral:rRNA from 1 species
UACGGAGGGAGCUAGCGUUGUUCGGAAUUACUGGGCGUAAAGCGCACGUAGGCGGCUUUGUAAGUUAGAGGUGAAAGCCCGGGGCUCAACCCCGGAAUUGCCUUUAAGACUGCAUCGCUUGAAUCCGGGAGAGGUGAGUGGAAUUCCGAGUGUAGAGGUGAAAUUCGUAGAUAUUCGGAAGAACACCAGUGGCGAAGGCGGCUCACUGGACCGGUAUUGACGCUGAGGAGCGAAAGCAUGGGGGAGCGAACAGG